rfam:Myotis lucifugus cont2.64797, whole genome shotgun sequence.
GCUGGUGUGGCUCAAUGGAUAGAGUGUCAGCCUGUGGACUGAAAGGUCCGGGGUUCAAUUCCCGCCAAGGGCA